GCGUCGGUAGCUCAGCCGGUAGAGCACCGGAUUGAAGAUCCGGGUGUCGCAGGUUCAAUUCCUGCCCGUCGCACCA
rnacentral:tRNA from 1 species